GACGAACGCUGGCGGCGUGCCUAAUACAUGCAAGUCGAACGCAGUGGGGACGGGUGGGUAACACGUGGGAAACCUCCCAUCAGAGGGGAUAACACUUGGAAACAGGUGCUAAACUGAUACUGAUGGAUGGACUAGCGGUGCAUUAGCUAGUUGGUGAGGUAACGGCUCACCUAGGCCACGAUGCAUAGCCGGCCUGAGAGGAUGAUCGGCCACACUGGGACUGAGACACUGCCCAGACUCCUACGGGAGGCAUCAGUGGGGAAUUUUCGGCAAUGGACGAAAGUCUGACCCAGCAACGCCGCGUGUAUGAAGAAGGUUUUCGGAUCGUAAAGCUCUGUUAUUGGAGAGGCGUUAUCUAACCAGAAAGCCACGGCUAACUACGUGCCAGCAGCCGCGGUAAUUC
rnacentral:rRNA from 1 species